ACGACGUGUUCGUACAGGUUGGGAAACCGUCUGGCUCAUCUCUGUACUUUCUCUCUCUCCCUCUCCCACUUCUUCUAACUUGGAUCUCAUCGUGCGGCGGUGACGCUGGCCAAGUUCACGUUUGCCAGUUGCCGAGUGGAUAAUGGAUGGUUUGUGAGAUUAGUAAUGCGCGAAGGAUGAGGAGUGGGGCAGCCAAGUGCAUCCCGUCUGUGCGAUAAAAUGACUUCCCUCGAUCCCCACGCAGCCCGAGAGACUAGCCCCGUGUGGACAGACAUCAACAAGGAUGAGGACAGAAUGACUUCAUGGCCAUUCGUUCUGUCACCAUCUUUGCACAGGCUAUCAUCCCAUUGCCUAGCACAGUGCUCUACAUACGGCAGACCCUCAGUAUGUAUUUGAAUAAAUGAAUGAACGAAAAGAAAUGAAUGAACAUGAACUCCCAAGUCCUGCUUGGCUGGUGUCCCAGGCAAAAAGAGAGUGUCAAGGAGAAGGCAUAACAUGUCUGACUCCAUUAUACAGACACACCAAGUCAGCACUUCAACUCAAGGGACCUCCCAAAACAGACAAGGCACAGAAACACACUGUUGGAAGAAAUUUCCCUUCCUUCUGUGGACAUACUGGAAUAGGAUACCAUCCGUGUGGCUCCCUCUCGGGAAGAGACUGAAGCUGAAGAAGAUAAAGUGACUGGCCCAAGGUCACCCCUUGGUAAACUGUGGGUCAGCUGCCAACUCAGGUCUCAAGCUUUGAGCCCCAGAUCUCAUGCUUUUCACCCUAAGGCUUCCAAGGUGGACUUGGAGUAGAGGUCCUCAUCCUUCCAUCUCCCCAGACCUGACCCUGUCCUGUUACCACUGGGAAGUCAACAAAGACUUGUUUUGAUGUGACUCAACCUCUUAGAUUGUUGACAGUCCUUUACAAUUUUUUGACAAGGGAAAAAGGAACAGUUCAAUAUUUCGAGGCAAUCUAUGGCUUGGUAAACACACCGAAAGGAGUGGGAACAGGGUGAGAACGUGAAAGAGACAUGGCUUCACCGUGAUCUGCAGAGGGUAUUGGAACACAUAACCGUGGCCGGCCACUCUCCAUGGAAAACGCAACCUCUGUGCAAUGUUUUGUUCGUGUUAUUGUUUGUUCGUGUGAAGAGAUUACAAACGAAAAGUUAAAUAUUAUAGUGAGAACUCUAUUAAUUGGGCCAGGCGUUGAAUGCAGGCCUGUAUUUGUCCCAACUCUGAAAAAUGCUUUGUGAAGCCCAAUUCUUUCAGGCAAGGCAGCAGGGGAAGGGCUUAGCCUACUCAAGACCGCUGUUUUCAAGCAAGCUGACAGCCGCUUUGCACUUUGCCAGGGUUCCUUUAAUGAGCUCAUGACAAAGGGCUCUGAGGUGUCCUCUGCAGCCAGUCCUGGAGGAGCUCUGCGUAGGAAACACUGACGCAGUCCUUAGCUCCUGAAAUACCAGAAACUCUUAAAACGCAUAACGCAAUGAAUGGAUCUGCCACUUCAGACUGGUCUUCUGUAACCGGCAGGUCUUUUUUGGCAAGCAACAGAAAAACGACUCCGAUUCGCCGAAACAGAAAGGAGUGCUUGCCAGCGUUCAGCAUGGCUGAACCCCUAUGUUUAAAGGACAUCAGCAGGAUUUCUGACUUUGCCCAAUUCCUGGUUUUUCGUCCUUGGUGUUCACUCCCUUCUCAAAGGGACUGUUCCUGGCACUUUCCGCCUUACAUUCUACCAGCUUAGCAUCCCAGUCUAAAGAGAGGACCUAUUUCUGAGUAGUUCCAGCAAAAAUAUCCCAGGGCUGUCUCUGAUUGGCCCAGCUUGGGUCACAUGCUCAUCCUUGAGCCAAUCCUAGUGGCCAGAGCAAUGCAGCACUCUCAUUAGUCAGGUCUGAGUCACGCCUAUCUUUAAAACUCGGAUGUGAGCAGGCCCACUUGAACCACAAGGAUCAAGAGGGAGGAGCAUUUCCCCGGAGAACUAUCCAGAUUCUGAUGCCAGACAACGGGGGCAGGGAGGAAGGGGUGGUGGAUGCUGAACAGGCAAAGCCAAUGGAAGUCCUUGGAACCUUCUCUCUGAAUUAUCUCCAACAAGUAAAGUGUUACUAAGCAGAGGAACUUCAUGUGGUUUACAAGCAUAAUUUAGAAAUUUGCUUAGA